rnacentral:pre_miRNA from 1 species
AAAAAGCGUAUUUUUGUGCUGUUUAUUUUCAACAUUUGAUUGCCCAUCCUAUUUGAAAAAAUAUGUUAGUAUUUUUAUUGUUAUUAGAUGAUAAAACAUGAAUAAUACUUUAUGUGUGAUUAGUUUUUAAAAAAAAGUUCAUAAAUUUUUUAAAUAAGACAAAUGGUCAGAAGUUGGAUACGGAAAUCCAUAAAUACAGUUAUA